rnacentral:rRNA from 1 species
GACGAACGCUGGCGGCGUGCUUAACACAUGCAAGUCGAACGGUAAGGCCCUUCGGGGUACACGAGUGGCGAACGGGUGAGUAACACGUGGGUGAUCUGCCCUGCACUUCGGGAUAGGCCUGGGAAACUGGGUCUAAUACCGGAUAGGACCACUGCCUGCAUGGGGGGUGGGGGAAAGCUUUUGCGGUGUGGGGUGGGCCCGCGGCCUAUCAGCUUGUUGGUGGGGUGAUGGCCUACCAAGGCGACGACGGGUAGCCGGCCUGAGAGGGUGACCGGCCACACUGGGACUGAGAUACGGCCCAGACUCCUACGGGAGGCAGCAGUGGGGAAUAUUGCACAAUGGGCGCAAGCCUGAUGCAGCGACGCCGCGUGAGGGAUGACGGCCUUCGGGUUGUAAACCUCUUUCAGCACCGACGAAGCGCAAGUGACGGUAGGUGCAGAAGAAGGACCGGCCGACUACGUGCCAGCCGCCGCAGUAA